GAUGACCCCAGGACACAACUUUAUAGCUUUAGGGGGAAACAGAACAGACCAAACCAAAUGAACCAUGCAACAAGGGAGGGGGAGAUUGUAGGAAGCACACUAGAGACAAAAAUAAAGGUGAAAACCUCAACCUCUCUUUGGCAAAAAUGAAUCUUGUGACUGUUUGCUGACCGACAGUCUGAACACGCGCUUGGCCCCUGAUAGGCCAAGGAAACAAAACACCAUCACUUUGGGUUCCUUGAUGUGUUUGCCAGAAAAUAUCCUUAAGAAGUUGUGUCUUGCUUUUCUCUGUGAAGAGAAAUGCAGCCACAGAAGCAAGGUGGGAGGAUCAUGUUCUAUGCAAAGGAUCGUUUCACAUGUGUGACACAGGAUCAGAGAAGAUGCCAACAAGGAGAAGGAGGUCACAGUGAGCACCUGCUACAAAUCACCUGAAUGAGAUGAUGAAAAAAGAUCUCAGUAUGUGUAGGACGUUGCAACUUCUGCUUCCAGUUCUGUGUGUGAUAUUUCCUACACACCUGCACAAAGUGCUGCUUGAGACAUCCUGCAGUGUUCAACCUUGCUGCCAGCUGCUUCUCUGUAGGAGUAAAAGGCUACCAUGUGCACCAAAUUUAUCAGCUCUGCUUGAUUGCUUCUCAUCUCUUGGGGUAAAAUAGCAAUAAAUGCCUCUGUACAGACAAUCGAA